rnacentral:rRNA from 1 species
CGGCGAGUGAACAGGGAGAAGCCCAGCACCGAAGCCUGUGGUCGUUUGAUCACAAGGCAAUGUGGUGUUCAGGUUGUUCCGCAAAGACGCUGCUCCACCCUAAGUCCAUCAAUGAGUACGGUAUUAUGGACCUGGCCCACGGAGGGUGAAAGGCCCGUGUGGGUGGAGACCAGUUUGGCCAGUGUCUUUCUGGAUAGACCUUGGAGUCGGGUUGUUUGUGAAUGCAGCCCAAAGUGGGUGGUAAACUCCAUCCAAGGCUAAAUACAAGCACGAGUCCGAUAGCGAACAAGUACCGUGAGGGAAAGUUGAAAAGUACUCUGAAGAGAGAGUAAACAGUGCGUGAAGCCGGUCAGAGGUAAACGGGUGGAGUUGAACUGCAAGCUCUGAGAAUUCAGCUGGUGAGUGUGGUUUGAGCUUGGUCAAGUCGGUUGGACCGCGGAGUCUGCGUAGCAGCAGGCCUUUGUCCUUCUGGGCAUUGGUGCGCGAUGCACUUAUCAAGUGUUGUGCGCUUCGUGUGUUCUUCGGGCCGACUCGCCAGUGCACUUUUUCAGAGUGGUCACCACGACCGGCACUGCUGUUUGGCUGGUGCGGUUAAACCGGUCUUGCAUAGCCCUCGUGGCUUUGCUUGGUCGGGAUGGCAGGUAGCUCGUUGGCUGGUUUGUGGUACGCCACAAGCGUUGGUUUUCGAGUGUAAUCAGCCGACCGUGUUGGUUCUAUGCAGCGUGUCGGAGACGGCGGCUUUUGUGUGUGCGUGCGUGCCAUGUUGGCCGGCGUGUUCGAGUUCUGGUUGUUACGUAGCCUGUGUAGGCAGGCCUGAUGAUGGCUCGGAUUCGUUCGGUUGGCGGUUGCGUGCGUGAUACGUUUCAUGGGCCGAUAGUCUGUGGUGUAGUGGUAGACGAUCCACCUGACCCGUCUUGAAACACGGACCAAGGAGAGUAACAUGCGCGCGAGUCAUUGGGCAUUACGAAACCCAUAGGCGCAGUGAAAGUAAAGGUUUGGCUUGUCCAGACUAAGGUGAGAUCCCGUCGUUUCUCAUGCGCGGUAUUACCAAGCUUCGAGCGGCAGGCGCAUCACCGGCCCGUCCUAUGACAAUUGCUUCGGCAUUACCCAGUCGGGGCGGAGCAUGAGCGUGCAUGUUGAGACCCGAAAGAUGGUGAACUAUGCUUGUGCAGGUUGAAGCCAGAGGAAACUCUGGUGGAGGACCGAAGCGGUUCUGACGUGCAAAUCGAUCGCCAGACGUGAGUAUAGGGGCGAAAGACUAAUCGAACUAUCUAGUAGCUGGUUCCCUCCGAAGUUUCCCUCAGGAUAGCUGGCAUU